CCGACAGUAAAUAUGAGGACAGCAUGAACUAUCAUCUGCCAUCCACCACCAACCUAUCCACUGUCGUUCACCAUUGCCACCUCAAUUCAGAUUGUGCUUCAAUUUCACCUGAAUUCAUGUCCUUUGUUGGCCAUCCACAUCAUCGCCACAGCCUCCAGCCCAACGCUUCCUCACAACUAGACAUUACCACCACUUCAAAACUAGCAACUCCCUCAAGCAUUUAGAGUGAAAUUGAACCUUCAACCCCCUCAAGCAAUCGAACAUUCACUCCACCGUCACAACAAUAGCAAAACAUCAAAAUCAAAUCUGAUUUUUAAAUCAAUUUCGAUUGUUUCAGAUCUGAAGUAAAGAAAUUCGUCACUUUUUUGUUCUUCCUUUAUUGGUGGCAAUGGUGGUGGCGAUGACUUCUGACUUGGAUGGCAGUGGCGGUGGCGAUGACUUCCGACUUGGAUAGCUGUGGCGAUCUAUCACCUAGGUGGAGAUAGUGACAACUUUGUGGCAUGGAGCAUUAUAUGGGACGGGAAAGGAAAGACUGGGUUAGGGUGGUAAUUGUUUUUUUUAUCUUUAGUGGUGGUCGAUCACGUUGGUGGUGGUGGCGUUUGUCGGCCUGGAUGGCGCUGGCGGUCGAUCGCCUGCGUUGUGGAGACGGUAGGGAAUUUUGGGCAAGUGGGAUUUUCUGGGAAUGGGGAAGAAAGGGUUAGGUUUGGGUGGUGGGUUGGUUUAUUUAUUUUUUUAUUUUUAAAUUAUUAAUAAUAUUUAUAUACCCCUUUUACCCUUUGAAAUUGAUUCAACAGUUGGUCAAAUCGUUGACCUAUAGUCAACUAUCAGAGAAAUUAAUGGAAACCGUCAUUUUGUACUGGUCCUGUGAAUUUUUUUAAAGGUUUGGUACCUCCAAUGGCACAAAUGAAAGGUUUGGAUAAAGUCUGCUAAUAAACGAAAGGUUUGGUACCUCGGCCGCAAUUUUCCCUUUUAUAUAUUGAGGUUAAAAUUGACACUUUCAUGAUGGAUGGAUAGUUGAAGUUAAAAAUACAAUCAAAGUAAUUCUUUCAUAAUUAAGUUCUGGGUAAUUAAUACAAAACUUCCUUCUCUUUUAAUGAUAUUGUGC
rnacentral:lncRNA from 1 species